ensembl:piRNA 21ur-3439 ncRNA
UCCCUUUCCGACGUAGAAUAU